GGUUGUAUAAAAUUGACAUUAUUUUUUCUUCUAUGUUUGCAGACUUACUUCUUCCCUGACUAUUUGCUGGAAAUAGUAUUCUGGACUUUGCUUUUCCGUAGGAAGAUUUUAAACUUCUGAUUCAAUUUCCUUUAUGGUGAUAUGACUUUAUAUUUCCCAUUUCUCCCUAACUAAAUUUGGUGGGUACAGGAUAGUUAACAGUCAACAAUUAACACGAUAACAAUAGCAAUGAGGGAAUCUGUGGCCUGCGCCCUGGCGCCCUUUGUUGUGCUCCGAGGGACCGAAGGGGUCCGGAAAAGGGAAGUUACAAGUUACCUUGACAUUCCACAGGAAGUGAGCUACUAAGGACCCCCCACCCCCAACAAAGACCACCUCAAACAAAGGAAAUGUUUCUGGAGAAAAGAAGAAUAGCCAGAUUAUAUCACCCAACAGCUCUGGGACACAAUAUUAAUGCUUCACAGCGUUUCAAGAGGCUUAUCUUGCCAGAGAAACCCCAAGUCUGACAAACAACAGCCUGUGAUCAUCCAACCCUUAAAGCAAUUCUAAACACCCUAAGUCUAUCCCAAUCGGAAGAGAGCUGCUGAAGAGAUAUAACCCAUAGAAGGAGCCUCCUCCUCCAUAGCCUACAGCUCCUGGGGCCAUGGAAAGACAGGGCAAAGGAGAUCCUUCCAGAGAACAAACCGGACCAGCCAGGUUGGCCAAGGAGCUCACAUUACCUCCAGGGCACGGACACCUUGCUCUUCCUGUCCUACCAAAGGCCACUUUAUGGGGUCAUGGACCAAAGACCACUU